AUUGUAAUGUCAGGAAGCUGGUGUUGCCAAACAAAGUUGACGCAUUUCCAAAAAUUGACUAAAAUGUUACAUUAGGAUCGGUAAUCAGUGAGCGUUAACAGAUAUCCAUGUCUAGUCAGCUUAAAUUGUCCCUUGGAAACAAUCCAACAGGAUUGGGGCAGGGAUCCCGGAAUCUGCCUACAGGACACAAUUUGAGCACUACCCCAGGGUAUAUCCCUUCAAAAGGAAAUGAUACACCUCUUCCAUCCUUUACCAUCACUGAACCAGUGUGUCAAGCCAUACUGUACGAUGAUAUUGGAGAAUCAAGGUGUGUCUUGUUGCUGUAAUCAGCGUCCUGAGAUGUGUGGUAUCAAUGACAGUCAAUGCAUCCAUAUUGGCAGGGGAUAUUACAGACAAGGUGUUGUGGCUGGUCCUGAGGUUUUUCUUGCUGGGGACAGAAAUGUCCAUCAUUGUGUUUGGACUGGCAUUCGGUCAUUUGGACAGCAGAAAAUCCAUACAGAGAGUGUUAUUAGUGACAUCAUGUGUGGCCCUCAUAUACUCAUGUACACAGGGCACCCUGGAGUUUGAGUACCCCGAUCCUCAGUUUCAUGUACAGAAAGGCUCCAACGAAACGUACCAGGACUUUGACAUCUUCGCCCACGGAGGGAUGAUUUUCUGGCUCACCAGCUCCCUUGUCUUUUUUCUCGUGUACACAGUGAUAUUUAUUUUACCUUGGACAAGUCUGAAGGAAAGGUGGUCUCUUCCACGUGAGUAUUUCAAAUGGAUGAUGAAUAUUGUAAAGAUAUUUUAGAAAUCCACCUACACAGUACUGAGCAAAAUCAGUACUCCAUAAUUCAUAAAUUAUCAAUUUUUUUAAAAGAGGGAAGUUUUAAAAAAUAUGAACUUUGGGCUUUCAGCCAAGAAAUCUUUUUACCGCUAUGCUGCAUUUUUGGCCUUCCUAAAUCUCGCCCAGGCCAUUGGGAGCGGGAUGUUGUAUGGAGAAAUUCAGGAAGGAAUGUGGUAAGCCUGCCCGGAAUUCAUUCUCUGACCCAUUUCAUCUCAUGAGAGAGAAUCAUUACUCUAAAUCUAAAUAAAAUGCAAGGAAUUACUGUAUGUAUCAGCUUAAAAUAGCAUGAAGAAUCCAAAUUUUAUACUCUGGCUAUUAUUUUUCUGGCACCAGUUUACUAUAUGAAAUAGCAACAAAAGUCUGGUACUAGUGAUUUUAUAUUCUCAUAAUUAGAUACAGAAAUGUGGAAUGCAGAAUAUAAAACAAAAAAUUUACAACUAUGUAUCAAAUACAUGUAUUAAAAAAAUAUAGUUACCAUUUCAAAUUUGAAUAAAUGUUUAAAUGAGUCAAUAUUUACCAUCAACAUCUCUGUUCUAAUACGUGUAAUAAAAAGAAGGCAGAUGGGCUAUGUUGUCAAUCUAAAAAAUUUGGGAUGUUUUUCUUUUCAGCCUGGUGGAUUUGACAUCUUAUAUCUACUUCACUUGUUUUGUGCCUCUUGUGUAUCUGGUGUUUCUAAGGAAGUUCUUUAUGCACACACAGCCGCGAAUCCUGUUCUCUUACAAGAGUCAGGUGGACGAGAUUCCGGAGGAAGACACGGUCAGCAUGCCGUACCAGUCUAACGUCCGCAAGACCGAGGACGGCGACAACAUGAGUGUCAGCUUCGACAGCACGCACUUCGACCACCAGUCGGGGUCCUACUACACUCGCCCGUCCUCGCUUCUCCCCAACGGCUCAGUCAACGUGACAGAAGACGAUGUCGCUCCAGUCCGAGACUAUUACCAGGCCUCGGCCUAGGACUCGAGCUGUCUGUGAAUUUUUUCUUGCCUAAUGAUAUUAAUGGGAGUUUUAAGUCCAUCAUUAUCAGUAUAGACUUGUAGGCAUGUACAAAGAAAGCUAGUAAUCAAGGGACUUUUGUCACUCAAGGUGCUUAUAUAGCGGUUCUUCAGAGGAAGGAUCGAAUACAAAAUGAUAUUGUUACAACGCUAUUUAAAGAUUAUGAGUUAACUCCUUAAUUGUGUACUUUAGUUAACUAGUACUUCUGAUGAAAGUCAGAUUUUGAAAUAUGUGUGUAAAUAUUUUGAAGAUUCAUUUGUUUCUUUUUUAAUGUUAAGUUUUUUGUUAAUAAUUACUAUGAAGGAAAAUUAAAUUGUAAAGAUUUG
rnacentral:misc_RNA from 1 species